rnacentral:rRNA from 1 species
ACGGGAGGCAGCAGUGGGAAUAUUGCACAAUGGGGGAAACCCUGAUGCAGCCAUGCCGCGUGUGUGAAGAAGGCCUUCGGGUUGUAAAGCACUUUCAGUUGUGAGGAAAAGUUAGUAGUUAAUACCUGCUAGCCGUGACGUUAACAACAGAAGAAGCACCGGCUAACUCCGUGCCAGCAGCCGCGGUAAUACGGAGGGUGCGAGCGUUAAUCGGAAUUACUGGGCGUAAAGCGCACGCAGGCGGUUUGUUAAGCUAGAUGUGAAAGCCCCGGGCUCAACCUGGGAUGGUCAUUUAGAACUGGCAGACUAGAGUCUUGGAGAGGGGAGUGGAAUUCCAGGUGUAGCGGUGAAAUGCGUAGAUAUCUGGAGGAACAUCAGUGGCGAAGGCGACUCCCUGGCCAAAGACUGACGCUCAUGUGCGAAAGUGUGGGUAGCGAACAGGAUUAGAUACCCUGGUAGUCCACACCGUAAACGCUGUCUACUAGCUGUGUGUGCCUUUAAGGCGUGCGUAGCGAAGCUAACGCGCUAAGUAGACCGCCUGGGGAGUACGGCCGCAAGGUUAAAACUCAAAUGAAUUGACGGGGGCCCGCACAAGCGGUGGAGCAUGUGGUUUAAUUCGAUGCAACGCGAAGAACCUUACCUACACUUGACAUGCUGAGAAGUAUACUAGAGAUAGUUUCGUGCCUUCGGGUAACUCAGACACAGGUGCUGCAUGGCUGUCGUCAGCUCGUGUUCGUUGAGAUGUUGGGUUAAGUCCCGCAACGAAGCGCAACCCUUGUCCUUAGUUGCCAGCCUUAAGUUGGGCACUCUAAGGAGACUGCCGGUGACAAACCGGAGGAAGGUGGGGACGACGUCAAGUCAUCAUGGCCCUUACGUGUAGGGCUACACACGUGCUACAAUGGCAUUUACAGAGGGAAGCGAGACAGUGAUGUGGAGCGGACCCCUUAAAGAAUGUCGUAGUCCGGAUUGGAGUCUGCAACUCGACUCCAUGAAGUCGGAAUCGCUAGUAAUCGCAGGUCAGAAUACUGCGGUGAAUACGUUCCCGGGCCUUGUACACACCGCCCGUCACACCAUGGGUAGUGGGAUGCAAAAGAAGUAGUUAGUCUAACCUUCGGGAGGACGAUUACCACUUUGUGUUUCAUGACUGGGGCUGAAGUCGUAACAAGGUAACC